UGUAGAAGAUGUCCCCCCCCCCCAAGAUGUCACAGCACGUCACAUCAGUGUCCAGCUCUGCAGGAUGAUGGACUGCAUAGGCUAUUAUGCUAAAGAAGCAGAUGUUCUUCUAAGGGACACCCUAGAGACAGCAAGGUGAUGCGAACGCCCAACAUUUAAAGGAAUCGUUUCCCUCCCUAGUGUAAAUUAUAUGGAUGGGGAAGACCGCAUUACAACCCUUAAAAAACUAUGGUUGUAUGAUGGCCUGGAUGAAGAGGAAAAUAUUCUCCUCAAGUAAUCAUUCAUGUUUUCAUUUCAGUUAGAGAGAUUAUGAGAUGUUCUAUGUGGAGGCAGUUGACAACAAGAAAAUGACUGUCUGCCUCUUUUGAGGAGCAGGGAGUGAAGCCAUUUUUGAGGAGUGGUCAAACCUUGUUUUUGUCUGCUGUGUUAAUUGUUUCAAUUGUUAAUUGUGUUGUUUAGUAAAGAUGACGUAGAAGUCA